rnacentral:lncRNA from 1 species
CUCGAUCUUAACAAAAUGACUCGAAAAAGACAUCAAAACGGCUCAAAGCGGACUGACUCUAAACAUAAAACCAAAGGUAAACGAUUAGUAGCAGAUAAGCAGAUAAGCGCCUCCCCCAGACAUACUUCUCACCAUCCCUAGAGAGAAAAUAAUUCAAGGAAAGGCCAAAAUAAUAAACAAGUGCAUGAAACAGAAAUAGUUCAAACGUAUAUAACAAUGGAGAUAGAACUAGGAGACUGCCUAGUCAGUAUCAUCGCUCUCGGACUGGCCAGCGGAACGCCUGUUCCUUUUGCGCGGAGUGCCCAUGGAGUCUCUUCCUCACCCCUUGCAGUUCCUGCCGGUUCCUUCCCUGGUCGAUAACUGCUCGGUGUAGGCUGCUCUCGACGAGGCUCAGCUGUGCUCGGAGUUCCCAAGCAUCCUCCAGUGAUCGCUUUCAGGAUCCUCUUCAUGAGACUGUUAUUUUUGCG